rnacentral:rRNA from 1 species
UUCCGGUUGAUCCUGCCAGAGGUCACUGCUAUCGGUGUCCGAUUAAGCCAUGCGAGUCGAGGGGUGUAAGACCCCGGCAGACUGCUCAGUAACACGUGGAUAACCUGCCCAAGGGUCCGGGAUAACCCCGGGAAACUGGGGAUAAUACCGGAUGGGUCACCAGUGCUGGAAUGCUUGGUGGUCGAAAGGUGACGCCUUUGGAUGGGUCUGCGGCGGAUUAGGUUGACGCCGGUGUAACGUACCGGCGUGCCUGUAAUCCGUACGGGUUGUGGGAGCAAGAGCCCGGAGAUGGAUUCUGAGACGCGAAUCCAGGCCCUACGGGGCGCAGCAGGCGCGAAAACUCUACAAUGCAGGCAACUGCGAUAGGGGGACAUCGAGUGGCAUCCACCUUGGGUGUCUGUCCAACCGUCUAAAAAACGGUUGUUAGCAAGGGCCGGGCAAGACCGGUGCCAGCCGCCGCGGUAAUACCGGCGGCUCGAGUGGUGGCCGAUAUUAUUGAGUCUAAAGGGUCCGUAGCCGGCUUUGCAAGUCCCCUGGGAAAUCCGGCGGCUUAACCGUUGGGCUUUCAUGGGAUACUACAUUGCUUGGGACUGGGAGAGGUAGGAGGUACUCGGGGGGUAGGGGUGAAAUCCUGUAAUCCUCCGGGGACCACCGGUGGCGAAGGCGUCCUACCAGAACAGGUCCGACGGUGAGGGACGAAAGCUAGGGGCACGAACCGGAUUAGAUACCCGGGUAGUCCUAGCCGUAAACGAUGCCCGCUAGGUGUCACGACGGUCGUGAAUCGUCGUGGUGCCGUAGGGAAGCCGCGAAGCGGGCCACUUGGGAAGUACGGCCGCAAGGCUGAAACUUAAAGGAAUUGGCGGGA